CAUGAUAGACACGGCAUUCCCACUUAACACCAAGCUUCCAACUCUCUCUCUCUCUCUCUCUCUCUCUCUCUUUCUCUCUAUAUAUAUAUAUAACUCUGCUUCGAGCUUUGUAAGUCACACACAACAGUUCGCAGCAAACCAACACCAUGAAGCAAAAGGUGGUUAUUAAAGUCUCCAUGAAUGGACAGAAAUCUCGCUCCAAAGCCCUCAAGAAAGUAGUUGGUGUUCAAGGGGUAGAAGCAGCAGCUUUACAGGGGCAGGACAAGAUAGAGGUGACCGGAGAGAGUAUGGAUGUCAUUGGGCUCACGACGUCGCUGAGGAAGAAGAGCGUUGGGUAUGCCGACUGGUAAGCGUGACCCCGCGUGUGG